ACAGCUCAAAUUUUGAAUCUGGCGGUCCAUGUGGCCGUCCGAGUUGUAAUCUAGAGAAGCGUUUUCCAGCGCUGGUCCGUGUACAAGUCUCCUGGAAGGGAGCAUCAUAGAGGGUGAGAAUCCCGUCUUUGACAUGGCCGCCAGUGCAUCGUGAUGCGCUCUCGACGAGUCGAGUUGUUUGGGAAUGCAGCUCAAAACGGGUGGUAAAUUCCAUCUAAAGCUAAAUACAGGCGAGAGACCGAUAGCGAA
rnacentral:rRNA from 1 species